rnacentral:rRNA from 1 species
GAGUUUGAUCAUGGCUCAGAACGUACGCUGGCGGCACGCCUAACAUAUGCAAGUCGAACGCAGUAGCAAUACUGAGUGGCAAACGGGUGAGUAUAAUGUGGGAAUCUGCCUUUUGGUUUGGAAUAACACGGGGAAACUUGUGCUAAUACCGAAUAAGCCCUUACGGGGAAAGUUUUAAUGCCGAAAGAUGAGCCCGCACUUGAUUAGCUAGUUGGUAAGGUAAAAGCUUACCAAGGCCACGAUCAAUAGCUGUUCUUAGAGGAAGACCAGCCACAUUGGGACUGAGACACGGCCCAGACUCCUACGGGAGGCAGCAGUGGGGAAUCUUGCACAAUGGAGGAAACUCUGAUGCAGCGAUGCCGCGUGAGUGAAGAAGGCCCUUGGGUUGUAAAGCUCUUUCGUCGGGGAAGAAAAUGACUGUACCCGAAUAAGAAGGUCCGGCUAACUUCGUGCCAGCAGCCGCGGUAAUACGAAGGGACCUAGCGUAGUUCGGAAUUACUGGGCUUAAAGAGUUCGUAGGUGGUUGAAAAAGUUAGUGGUGAAAUCCCAGAGCUUAACUCUGGAACUGCCAUUAAAACUUUUCAGCUAGAGUAUGAUAGAGGAAAGCAGAAUUUCUAGUGUAGAGGUGAAAUUCGUAGAUAUUAGAAAGAAUACCAAUUGUGAAGGCAGCUUUCUGGAUCAUUACUGACACUGAGGAACGAAAGCAUGGGUAGCGAAGAGGAUUAGAUACCCUCGUAGUCCAUGCCGUAAACGAUGUGUGUUAGACGUUGGAAAUUUAUUUUCAGUGUCGCAGGGAAACCGAUAAACACACCGCCUGGGGAGUACGACCGCAAGGUUAAAACUCAAAUGAAUUGACGGGGACCCGCACAAGUAGUGGAGCAUGUGGUUUAAUUCGAAGAUACGCGCAGAACCUUACCAACACUUGACAUGUUCGUCGCGACUCUAAGAGAUUAGAGUUUUCGGUUCGGCCGGACGAAACACAGGUGCUGCAUGGCUGUCGUCAGCUCGUGUCGUGAGAUGUUGGGUUAAGUCCCGCAACGAGCGCAACCCUCACUUUUAGUUGCCAUCAUUAAGUUGGGCACUCUGAAAGAACUGCCAGUGAUAAGCUGGAGGAAGGUGGGGAUGACGUCAAGUCCUCAUGGCCCUUACGUGUUGGGCUACACACGUGCUACAAUGGUAUCUACAACAGGAAGCAAGACUGCGAAGUUAAGCAAAUCCCUAAAAGAUACCUCAGUUCGGAUUGCACUCUGCAACUCGAGUGCAUGAAGCUGGAAUUACUAGUAAUCGUGGAUCAGCGUGCCACGGUGAAUGCGUUCCCGGGUCUUGUACACACCGCCCGUCACACCAUGGGAGUUGGUUCUACCUUAAGGCAAGGUUUCAAACCCUUGACCACGGUAUAGUCAGCGACUGGGGUGAAGUCGUAACAAGGUAACC